CAGUCGCCACGGGAAAACGAGGGGUGCAAGCGUUAAUCGGAAUUACUGGGCGUGAAGCGUGCGCAGGCGGUUUGUUAAGACAGAUGUGAAAUCCCCGGGCUCAACCUGGGAACUGCAUUUGUGACUGGCAAGCUAGAGUAUGGCAGAGGGGGGCGGAAUUCCGCGUGUAGCAGUGAAAUGCGUAGAUAUGCGGAGGAACACCGAUGGCGAAGGCAGCCCCCUGGGCCAAUACUGACGCUCAUGCACGAAAGCGUGGGGAGCAAACAGGAUUAGAUACCCCCGUAGUCCCUGUCUCUUAUAC
rnacentral:rRNA from 1 species